GAUGAACGCUGGCGGUAUGCCUAACACAUGCAAGUCGUACGAGAGUUUUUAACUCAAGUGGCGGACGGGUGAGUAACACGUGAGAAUUUGCCUUUAGGAGGGGGAUAACAGAGUGAAAACGCUGCUAAUACCCCAUAUGCUUUCGAGUGAAAUGGAUUUAUUCGCCUAAAGAGAAGCUCGCGGCUGAUUAGCUUGUUGGUAAGGUAAUGGCUUACCAAGGCGACGAUCAGUAUCUGGUUUGAGAGGACGAUCAGACACACUGGAACUGAGACACGGUCCAGACUCCUACGGGAGGCAGCAGUGGGGAAUUUUCCGCAAUGGGCGAAAGCCUGACGGAGCAAUACCGCGUGAGGGAUGACUGCCUAUGGGUUGUAAACCUCUUUUCUCAGGGAGGAAAUCAAUGACGUUACCUGAGGAAUAAGCAUCGGCUAACUCCGUGCCAGCAGCCGCGGUAAGACGGAGGAUGCAAGUGUUAUCCGGAAUCACUGGGCGUAAAGCGUCUGUAGGUGGCUUAACAAGUCAACUGUUAAAUCUUGAAGCUCAACUUCGAAAUCGCAGUCGAAACUGUUAGGCUAGAGUAUA
rnacentral:rRNA from 1 species